rnacentral:rRNA from 1 species
UGGGGAAUUUUGGACAAUGGGCGCAAGCCUGAUCCAGCAAUGCCGCGUGAGUGAAGAAGGCCUUCGGGUUGUAAAGCUCUUUUGUCAGGGAAGAAACGGUGAGAGCUAAUAUCUCUUGCUAAUGACGGUACCUGAAGAAUAAGCACCGGCUAACUACGUGCCAGCAGCCGCGGUAAUACGUAGGGUGCGAGCGUUAAUCGGAAUUACUGGGCGUAAAGCGUGCGCAGGCGGUUAUAUAAGACAGUUGUGAAAUCCCCGGGCUCAACCUGGGAAUUGCAUUUGAGACUGCACGGCUAGAGUGUGUCAGAGGGGGGUAGAAUUCCACGUGUAGCAGUGAAAUGCGUAGAUAUGUGGAGGAAUACCGAUGGCGAAGGCAGCCCCCUGGGAUAACACUGACGCUCAUGCACGAAAGCGUGGGGAGCAAACA